rnacentral:lncRNA from 1 species
UGAAGAAAAGUAGUCAUCAGAAAGCUUAUAAAAUAAGCACACUAUACAACAACAGCUAUCAUGUGCACCAAUUAAUAAAAAACGAAAUAAAGUUCAGUUUUAGCUUUUUUCGUUGAGGGAGAUUAGAAUUCAGAAUAAUAUAGCACCAAAACCCUACAAUUUGGAUAAGCUAUAAAUUAUGGGCAAAACCUCUUGUGACAUAUACCGUGGAAGAAUAAAUGAAAAAUGACCAAAAUCUUCAAUACGCAAUUACACAUGGACAAAGCUAUCACAGGCAUAGCGUUUACAACAACAACAACAACAACAACAAAGCCUUUUCCCACUAAGUGGGGUCGGCUAUAUGAAUCCUAGAACGCCAUUGCGCUCGGUUUUGUGUCAUGCCCUCCGUUAGAUCCAAGUACUCUAAGUCUUUUCUUAGAGUCUCUUCCAAAGUUUUCCUAGGUCUUCCUCUACCCCUUCGGCCCUGAACCUCUGUCCCGUAGUCACAUCUUCGAACCGGAGCGUCAGUCGGCCUUCUUUGCACAUGUCCAAAUCACCAGAGCCGAUUUUCUCUCAUCUUUCCUACAAUUUCGGCUACUCCUACUUUACCUCGGAUAUCCUCAUUCCCAAUCUUAUCCUUUCUCGUGUGCCCACACAUCCCACGAAGCAUCCUCAUCUCCGCUACACCCCAUUUUGUGUACGUGUUGAUGCUUCACCACCCAACAUUCUCUGCCAUACAACAUCGCUGGCCUUAUUGCCGUCCUAUAAAAUUUUCCCUUGAGCUUCAGUGGCCUACGACGGUCACACAACACGCCGGAUGCACUCUUUCCAUCCAGCUCGUAUUCUAUGGUUGAGAUCUCCAUCUAAUUCUCCGUUCUCUUGCAAGAUAGAUCCUAGGUAACGAAAACGGUCGCUUUUUGUGGUCUUCGCUAGAUUGCUCCGGUCAUUAGUGUGGAUAAGUAUAUAAAUGGAUAGAGAUAGGAAAGCAAACAAGAUGUACGUGGUUCACCCAGAUUGGCUGCGUCCACGGAAUAGAAGAGUUCUCAUUAAUUGUGAAGGGUUUACACAAGUACAUAGGUUCAAGCUCUCCUUUAGUGAGUACGAGUGAAUGAUUUAGUACAAAUGACAUUAGGAAAUAUUGUGGGAGGAUGAUCUCGUAAUCACGAAACUUCUAAGUAUCGGAGUGUGGUGUCGUCUUGACUUGCCUUAUCUGUCUCAUAGGUAGAUGUGGCAUCUUCCCUGGAAGUACUCUUCCUCCAUCCAGGGGUGGUAUCUUUAACUGGUGGAGAUGCACAAGGUAAUGUAUCAAUUUCACUUGAAGCUUACUUGUAGUUUCAGGCUUGGUCAAGCGCGAUACAAACCAUGUAGUAGGAGUCCCCCAAGUCGCCGAGCUAGGGGGUCUGCUGAAAGCGUUGACAGACAAGGUAAGCAAUCAGAGCUCCGACUGAUUGUUCACCUUCUCCCCAUCUUGCAGCAGCAUGAAGGAUAAAGAGAAGAAAAAUGAGAAGAGAUGAUAUGAGAUACUUUUGCUUUUGAAGAAGUAACUUUCCACAGGCUUAUUCUUGAACUGAGCUGGAGGGUUUUCUGGUUUCCUCCAGAGUAUAAGGCCGACUGAAGAAUUUGAGGGUCAAAACAAGUCCAUCAAAUCUAGAGUACGUUCCACCCUGCUGAUAUGGGAUACUUUUGCUUUUGACAGAGUAAUGGAUGUAUCGGCACGUGUGCUGUUACGCUUGUCUCCACAUGCUUCCUUGUAUCCUUCGCACUUGCCCUAUCUGUUCCUCAAGCAGAUGCGGAAUCUUCCCUGGAAACAUAAGAUGAUGAAGAUGAGUACUCGAGAGAGCAAUGCCAGGUAAGUAAUCAGGUAAGGGGUUCCAGGCAGUCAGUUCCUGGCUGGAAGCUUGAUUCCAAGUGCUGACUGAUUGCUCUCUUUCUCCUUGUCUUGCAGGUAAAAACAAGGCCAAAAGAAAAAACAGGGAAAAAGCAUGAUAUGGGAUACUCUUGCUUUUAACCCUGAUGAUAUGAGAUAUUCUUGCUCUAGUAUAGCUUGUUUGCAGAGGUAUUAUCGGGGGGGAAGAAAGCUGAAUAUUUCGAAAGGCUUUGUUGGGAGUGCCCUCUCAGAUAUGAUGAAGGGUUGAGCAUUUUUGCAGGUCUGCCUGUCCGUUGGGGAUGGAGGUCGACAUAUAUAGGCGUCUCCCUAACAACAAGUAGUAAUGCUAUUCCUUUACCCUGCUUGGUCAUAGCACGGUAGUGGGAGCUGCCAGUUUCACAUGUUUUAACUCUGUCAGAGCACUUUGAAAAAGUGGUAUGUGGUAUCUGGCUCUCGAGAUUCGGAGAACGAUGCCCUCUUCGAUUUUUGAGAAAGCAAUCAUGCUGGGGGUCUGACUCUCGAGAUUCGGAGAGCAGUGUCUCUUCGAUUUUUGAGGAAGUAAUCAUGUUGGGAGUCUGGCUCUCGAGAUUCGGAAGACGGUGCCUCUUCGAUUUUGGAGCAAGCAAUCUUGUUGGGAGUGUUGUCUCGAAUGUGAGUAAAGGUUGGACAUGUUUGCUAGUCUACCUUGCCACGAAGCACAAAGGUUGACACACAGGGACUUUCCAAUUAUCCAGCAAUGGUACUGUUCCUUUACCCUCUCUUCGAUUUUGAGAAAGUAGUCAUGUUGGGAGUCUGGCUCUCGAGAUUCGGAGGACGGUGCCUCUUCGAUUUUGGAGCAAGCAAUCUUGUUGGGACUGUUUUCUCGAAUGUGAGUAAAGGUUGGGCAUGUUUGCUAGUCUACCUUGCCACGAAGCACAGAGGUUGACACACAGGGACUUUCCAAUUAUCCAGCAGUGGUACUGUUCCUUUACCCUUGUGGGUAAUAAUAUGGUAGCUAGACCUUCAAAAUUUAUGUGUCUAAACUUUGUUAGUGCUGUUUCUUUGCUAUUCUUUUACCUUUCUUGGUCAGAGCGAUGUAGUGGGAGCUGCAAGCUUCACGUGCUCAACUUUGGCAGAGAACUUUGGCAAAGUGAUCUGUGGUACCCAUGAGUUAUUGUUGCGUGUGGGAAGUGGGUGAUUGAACAGUAAGAUUCAUGUGCUUUCUACUUCACCAGAAGUCUUCGACAGAAUGCCCAUAAUUUCUGCAAAGCUGAGUGUGCGUGUGACAGGUGCUGACAAGGCUAGAAAAGUAGGUGCCUCUUCGAUUUCUGAGAUCGGCCCUCGUGGUCUCUGAGCAGCCCGGCUUUUGAGAAAGCGAGCGCCUCUUCGAUUGAUUCGGAGAACGGUGCCUCACCGAUUUUUGAGAAAGCAAUCAUGCUGGGGGUCUGGCUCUCGAGAUUCGGGGAGCAGUCUCUUCGAUUUUUGAGAAAGUAAUCAUGUUGGGAGAGUGGCUCUCGAGAUUCGGAGGGCGGUGCCUCUUCGAUUUUGGAGCAAGCAAUCUUGUUGGGAGUGUUUUCUCGAAUGUGAGUAAAGGUUGGGCAUGUUUGCUAGUCUACCUUGCCACGAAGCACAGAGGUUAACACACAGGGACUUUCCAAUUAUCCAGCAAUGGUACUGUUCCUUUACCCUCUCUUCGAUUUUUAAGAAAGUAGUCAUGUUGGGAGUCUGGCUCUUUAGAUUCGGAGGACGGUGCCUCUUCGAUUUUGGAGCAAGCAAUCUUAUUGGGAGUGUUUUCUCGAAUGUGAGUAAAGGUUGGGCAUGUUUGCUAGUCUACCUUGCCACGAAGCACAGAGGUUGACAUACAUGGACUUUCCAAUUAUCCAGCAGUGGUACUGUUCCUUUACCCUUGUGGGUAAUAAUAUGGUAGCUAGACCUUCAAAAUUUAUGGGUCUAAACUUUGUUAGUGCUGUUUCUUUGCUAUUCUUUUUACCCUUCUUGGUCAGAGCGAUGUAGUGGGAGCUGCAAGCUUCACGUGCUCAACUUUGGCAGAGAACUUUGGCAAAGUUAUCUGUGGUACCCAUGAGCUUAUUGUUGCGUGUGGGAAGUGGGAUUGAACAGUUGAACAGUAAGAUUCAUGUGUUUUCUACUUCCCCAGAAGUCUUUGACAGAAUGCCCAUAAUUUCCGCAAAGCUGAGUGUGCGUGUGACAGGUGCUGACAAGGCUGGAAAAGUAGGUGCCUCUUCGAUUUCUGAGAUCGGCCCUCGUGGUCUCUAGGGAGCCCAGCUUUUGAGAAAGCGAGCGCCUCUUCGAUUUCUGAGAUCGGCCUUCGUGGUCUUUGAGCAGCCCAACUUUUGAGAAAGCAAACGGCUCUUCGAUUUCUGAGAUCAACCCUCGUGAUCUCUAAGCAGCCCAACUUUUGAGAAAGCAAACGCCUCUUCGAUUUCUGAGCAGGCGCCUCUUUGAUUUCUGAAGCUCCGUCGAGUGCAGAUUUUUAUAGAGGCUGGCAUUAAGUUCCAAAGCACACUUGAAUCUCCACCAGUAGAAGCUUCAUUCUUGCACUUCUAAGAUCUUGAUUUGUCCGACCUCUUCUCUCUUCAACACCUUUGAAAAUGUCUGGCCCCUCCGACCGUCGUUUUGACUUGAACCUUGUUGAAGAGGCAGCCCCGCCUUCUCCAGACAACAUAUGGCGCCCAUCCUUUGUCUCCCCAACUGGUCCUCUUACCGUUGGGGAUUCCGUGAUGAAGAAUGAUAUGACCGCUGCGGUGGUGGCCAGGAACCUUCUCACUCCCAAAGAUAACAGACUACUUUCCAAACGGUCUGAUGAGUUAGCUGUUAAGGAUUCGCUGGCUCUCAGUGUUCAGUGUGCAGGUUCUGUGUCUAAUAUGGCCCAACGCCUAUUUGCUCGAACCCGCCAAGUUGAAUCAUUGGCGGCUGAAGUGAUGAGUCUCAAACAGGAGAUUAGAGGGCUCAAGCAUGAGAAUAAACAGUUGCACCGGCUCGCACAUGACUAUGCUACAAACAUGAAGAGGAAGCUUGACCAGAUGAAGGAAACUGAUGGUCAGGUUUUACUUGAUCAUCAGAGAUUUGUGGGUUUGUUCCAAAGGCAUUUAUUGCCUUCGUCUUCUGGGGCUGUACCGCGUAAUGAAGCUCCAAAUGAUCAACCUCUGAUGCCUCCUCCUUCUAGGGUUUUGUCCAGUACUGAGGCUCCAAAUGAUCCCCCUCCGGUGCCUUCUCUUUCUGGGGCUCUACCGACUGCUGAGACUUCUCCUAAGCAACCUUUGUGAAGGCUCCCUCUUGUGUUGUUUAUUUUUGACUCAUGUAUAUGUACAUAUUUGUAGCUUAUCGGGGAUAUCAAUAAAUAAGCUUUCCUUCAUUUCAACGUAUUGUGUUAAAUACACCAAAGCCUUCUUCGCUAAGUUCUUUGAAUUUUCUUUUGUUGAAGCUUGUAUGUUGAAGCUUUCUGAGUGGAGCAUGUAGGUUGGGGUAGUGUUCCCUUAAUUUCCCGAGUGAGGAAAACUUCUUGGUUGGAGACUUGGAAAAUCCAAGUCACUGAGUGGGAUCGGCUAUAUGAAUCUUAGAACGCCAUUGUGCUCGAUCCUGUGUCAUGUCCUUCGUUAGAUCCAAGUACUCUAAGUCUUUUCUUAGAGUCUCUUCCAAAGUUUUCCUAGGUCUUCCUCUACCCCUUCGGCCCUGAACCUCUGUCCCAUAGUCGCAUCUUCUAAUCGGAGCGUCAGUAGGCCUUCUUUGCACAUGUCCAAACCACCGUAACCGAUUUUCUCUCAUCUUUCCUUCAAUUUCGGCUACUCCUACUUUAACCCCGGAUAUCCUCAUUCCUAAUCUUAUCCUUUCUCGUGUGCCCACACAUCCAACGAAGCAUCCUCAUCUCCGCUACACCCAUUUUGUGUACGUGUUGAUGUUUCACCGCCCAACAUUCUGUGCCAUACAGCAUCGCCGGCCUUAUUGCCAUCCUAUAAAAUUUUCCCUUGAGCUUCAGUGGCAUACGGCGGUCACACAACACGCCGGAUGCACUCUUCCACUUCAUCCAUCCAGCUUGUAUUCUAUGGUUGAGAUCUCCAUCUAAUUCUCCGUUCUUUUGCAAGAUAGAUCCUAGGUAACGAAAACGGUCGCUCUUUGGUAUUUCUUGAUCUCCGAUCCUCACCCCUAACUCGUUUUGGCCUCCAUUUGCACUGAACUUGCACUCCAUAUAUUUCUGUCUUUGAUCGGCUUAGGCGAAGACCUUUAGAUUCCAACACUUCUCUCCAAAGGUUAAGCUUUGCAUUUACCCCUUCCUGAGUUUCAUCUAUCAACACUAUAUCGUCUGCGAAAAGCAUACACCAAGGAAUAUCAUCUUGAAUAUGUCCUGUUAACUCAUCCAUUACCAACGCAAAAAGGUAAGGACUUAAGGAUGAGCCUUGAUGUAAUCCUACAGUUAUGGGAAAGCUUUCGGUUUGUCCUUCAUGAGUUCUUACGGCAGUCUUUGCUCCUUCGUACAUAUCCUUUAUAGCUUGGAUAUAUAUGCUACUCGUACUCCUUUCUUCUCUAAAAUCCUCCAAAGAAUGUCUCUUGGGACCCUAUCAUACGCUUUUUCCAAAUCUAUAAAGACCAUGUGUAAAUCCUUUUUUCCCAUCUCUAUAUCUUUCCAUCAAUCUUCGUAAGAGAUAGAUUGCCUCCAUGGUUGAGCGCCCUGGCAUGAACCCGAAUUGGUUGUCCGAAACCCGUGUCUCUUGCCUCAAUCUAUGCUCAAUGACUCUCUCCCAGAGCUUCAUUGUAUGACUCAUUAGCUUAAUACCCCUAUAGUUCAUGCAAUUUUGUACGUCGCCCUUAUUCUUGUAUAUAGGCACCAAAGUGCUCGUUCGCCACUCAUUUGGCAUCUUCUUCGUUUUCAAAAUCCUAUUGAAAAGGUCAGUGAGCCAUGUUAUACCUGUCUCUCCCAAAACUUUCCACACUUCGAUUGGUAUAUCGUCUGGGCCUAUUGCUUUUCUAUGCUUCAUCUUCUUCAAAGCUACAACCACUUCUUCCUUCCGGAUUCGACGAUAAAAGGAGUAGUUUCUACACUCUUCUGAGUUACUCAACUCCCCUAAAGAAGCACUCCUUUCAUGUCCUUCAUUGAAAAGAUUAUGAAAAUAACCUCUCCAUCUGUCUUUAACCGCGUUCUCUGUAGCAAGAACCUUUCCAUCCUCAUCCUUGAUGCACCUCACUUGGUUUAGGUCCCUUGUCUUCUUUUCCCUUGCUCUAGCUAGUUUAUAGAUAUCCAACUCUCCUUCUUUGGUAUCUAGUCGUUUAUACAUAUCGUCGUAAGCCGCUAACUUAGCUUCUCUGACAGCUUUCUUCGCCUCUUGCUUCGCUUUUCUAUACCUUUCACCAUUUUCAUCGGUCCUCUCCUUGUAUAAGGCUUUACAACAUUCCUUCUUAGCCUUCACCUUUGUUUGUACCUCCUCAUUCCACCACCAAGAUUCCUUUUGGUGUGGGGCAAAGCCCUUGGACUCUCCUAAUACCUCUUUUGCUACUUUUCGGAUACAACUAGCCAUGGAAUCCCACAUUUGGCUAGCUUCCCCCUCUCUAUCCCACACACACAUUGGGUGAUUACCUUCUCUUUGAAAAUGGCUUGUUUUUCUCCUUUUUAGAUUCCACCAUCUAGUUCUUGGGCACUUCCAAGUCUUGUUCUUUUGUCUUACUCUUUUGAUAUGUACAUCCAUCACCAACAAGCGAUGUUGAUUAGCCACGCUCUCUCCUGGUAUAACUUUGCAAUCCUUACAAGUUAUACGAUCCCCUUUCCUCAUUAGAAGAAAAUCUAUUUGUGUUUUUUGACGACCCACUCUUGUAGGUGAUCACAUGUUCUUCUCUCUUCUUAAAGAAGGUGUUGGCUAAGAAGAGAUCAUAUGCCAUUGCAAAAUCCAAGAUAGCUUCCCCAUCCUCGUUUCUCUCCCCAAAACCAUGGCCACCAUGAAAACCUCCAUAGUUGCCUGUCUCCCUGCCCACGUGUCCAUUAUCCUCCUAUAAAUAACUUCUCCGUCUGAGCAAUUCCUUGCACCAAGUCUCCAAGAUCUUCUCCCAAAUUUCUCCUUCGAACUCGUAUCCAACCCUACUUGAGGUGCGUACGCACUAAUCACAUUGAUAAGUUCUUGUCCUAUUAUACAAUCUUUGAUUGCCAUGAUUCAUUCUACUCUCCCCUACUCUUGACAUCUACAACAAUCUUGUACUUGUACCAAGGUCUUGUCCACGAUGAUGCCAACACCGUUUCUCGUUCUAUUUGUGCCCGAAUACCAAAGUUUAAACCCUGAGUUUUCUAGAUCCUUUGCCUUACUACCAACCCACUUAGUUUCUUGUAGGCACAUAAUAUUUAUCCUUCUCCUCACCAUAACUUCCACUACUUCCAUAGAUUUUCCCGUUAAGGUUCCUAUAUUCCACGUUCCUAAACGCAUUUUGCUCUCUUGAACUCUACCCUUCUGUCCUAGCUUCUUCACCCUCCCCCGUCUAAUAGGAUCAAAGUACUUCUUUUGUGUGUCCCGGGUAAAGUUGAUAGGAGCAUAUAUGCUCCCAAAAACAACUUUGAGUGGAGUCGUUCGAAAAGAAGUUUCUAUGGCCCCCUUGCUCAUUUAACACUGCAUCCGGGUGCCGAUGGAGAUACAGCGACCCUUGCUCACUUAUCACUGUGCUCGGGCCACACAGCGCGCCACUUACGGGUGACGCCCUAGCUUUAGCGCGAUUUUGUUCUGGAUUCAUUUUCAUAAGGAUUCGACGUGAUCAUGGAGUGCCGGCUGUCGACUACCUGACGCCCUCCCCCUCCUCCUUUAUCCGGGCUUGGGACCGGCCAUGUAAGACAUAGGCGGAGUUACAGGCAUAGCGUUUAUUUGAUAAAAAUUGAUAAUGUCAUCUAAAUAAAGAAGUAUCUCACAAAGCUGAAGACAUAUUUGGAGAUAGUAUCCAUUUUUGAGCUUCAUGGGGUGAAGAAUUUUCCAGCUCAGCCAUUUCCAUAGAGCUCUC